CCUACGGGCGGCUGCAGUGGGGAAUAUUGCACAAUGGGCGCAAGCCUGAUGCAGCCAUGCCGCGUGUGUGAAGAAGGCCUUCGGGUUGUAAAGCACUUUCAGCGGGGAGGAAGGCGGUGAGGUUAAUAACCUCAUCGAUUGACGUUACCCGCAGAAGAAGCACCGGCUAACUCCGUGCCAGCAGCCGCGGUAAUACGGAGGGUGCAAGCGUUAAUCGGAAUUACUGGGCGUAAAGCGCACGCAGGCGGUCUGUCAAGUCGGAUGUGAAAUCCCCGGGCUCAACCUGGGAACUGCAUUCGAAACUGGCAGGCUAGAGUCUUGUAGAGGGGGGUAGAAUUCCAGGUGUAGCGGUGAAAUGCGUAGAGAUCUGGAGGAAUACCGGUGGCGAAGGCGGCCCCCUGACAAAGACUGACGCUCAGGUGCGAAAGCGUGGGGAGCAAACAGGAUUAGAUACCCCGGUAGUC
rnacentral:rRNA from 1 species